rnacentral:tRNA from 1 species
GGGCCGCUAGCUCAACUGGCAGAGCAGCGAGCUUUUAACUCGUAGGUUCUGGGUUCGACCCCCAGGCGGCCCA